rnacentral:rRNA from 1 species
GAUGAACGCUGGCGGCGUGCCUAAUACAUGCGAGUCGAGCGAACGGACGAGAAGCUUGCUUCUCUAAUGUUAGCGGCGGACGGGUGAGUAACACGUGGAUAACCUACCUAUAAGACUGGGAUAACUUCGGGAAACCGUAGCUAAUACCGGAUAAUAUCUUGAACCGCAUGGUUCAAAAGUGAAAGACGGUCUUGCUGUCACUUAUAGAUGGAUCCGCGCUGCAUUAGCUAGUUGGUAAGGUAACGGCUUACCAAGGCAACGAUGCAUAGCCGACCUGAGAGGGUGAUCGGCCACACUGGAACUGAGACACGGUCCAGACUCCUACGGGAGGCAGCAGUAGGGAAUCUUCCGCAAUGGGCGAAAGCCUGACGGAGCAACGCCGCGUGAGUGAUGAAGGUCUUCGGAUCGUAAAACUCUGUUAUUAGGGAAGAACAUAUGUGUAAGUAACUGUGCACAUCUUGACGGUACCUAAUCAGAAAGCCACGGCUAACUACGUG